rnacentral:tRNA from 1 species
GUUAAGGUGGCAGAGCCCGGCGAAUGCAAAAGACCUAAGCCCUUUAGACAGAGGUUCAACUCCUCUUCUUAACU